AAUUCAUUUCAUGAAGACCAGCACCAGACAGAUGGGACUUCCUGAUCUUGCUCCUUCAGCCUCCAAAACAAACAAGAGUACGCUGGCUCUUGUGUGCCCAUCACGGAUGGCCAAGGGAAGCCGUAGGUGGAGAUCUUGGAUACCCAGCAAGGCAAGGCUUCCUUCAGAACAACCAGAGCUACUUCAAAGAGUUGGAGUCAGAAAAAUGAAUGAGAAAACAUGAUCUUGAGCUUUGUGUCACCAGAAAGCCCUUGCUGCCUGAGGAGAAAACAGAACACAGGAUCAUAAUCUCCCAACAAGACAAGAACAAGGUAACUGAUUCCCUGACAGGAGAUGAACCACCCCUCACCCAGCAGCCGGGGCCUGGGUGAAACCACAGAAGCCUGGCAAUAUGAGCAAGGGUGACGCUCACAUGGGGAUGCUGACCUAGGCAAGGGUGAU